rnacentral:rRNA from 2 species
UACGGAGGGUGCAAGCGUUGUUCGGAAUUACUGGGCGUAAAGGGCGUGUAGGCGGUAAUGUAAGUCAGACGUGAAAUCCUUUGGCUCAACUGAAGAACUGCGUCUGAAACUGCAUGACUAGAGUGCAGAAGAGGGAAACGGAAUUCCUGGUGUAGAGGUGAAAUUCGUAGAUAUCAGGAGGAACACCGGUGGCGAAGGCGGUUUCCUGGUCUGACACUGACGCUGAGGCGCGAAAGCGUGGGGAGCAAACAGG